AGAGUUUGAUCCUGGCUCAGGAUAAACGCUGGCGGCGUGCCUAAAACAUGCAAGUCGAACGGCCCAUUUCGGUGGGCAGUGGCGGACGGCUGAGUAACACGUGGGUGACCUGCCCUCGAGCGGGGGAUAACUGCCCGAAAGGGUGGCUAAUACCGCAGACAUCUGGCCUUCGGUGGACAGAUUGAACCUCUGGGGUUCGAGGAGGGGCCCGCGGCCGAUUAGCUGGCUGGUGGGGUAAUGGCCUACCAGGGCUUCGAUCGGUAGCUGGUCUGAGAGGAUGAUCAGCCAGACUGGGACUGCGAACGGCCCAGACUCCUACGGGAGGCAGCAGUUAGGAAUUUUGGGCAAUGGGCGAAAGCCUGACCCAGCAACGCCGCGUGGGUGAUGAAGGCCCUCGGGUCGUAAAGCCCUUUUCCCAGGGAAGAUGGUGACGGUACCUGGGGAAUCAGCCCCGGCUAACUACGUGCCAGCAGCCGCGGUAAUACGUAGGGGGCGAGCGUUGUCCGGAUUUAUUGGGCGUAAAGCGCUCGCAGGUGGUCCGAUGCGUCGUGCGUGAAAGACCCCGGCUCAACUGGGGGGCGUCGUGCGAUACGGUCGGACUGGAGGCCAGUAGGGGGAUGCGGAAUUCCGGGUGUAGUGGUGGAAUGCGUAGAGAUCCGGAGGAACACCAGCGGCGAAGGCGGCAUCCUGGACUGGUCCUGACACUCAGGAGCGAAAGCGUGGGGAGCGAUCCGGAUUAGAUACCCGGGUAGUCCACGCCGUAAACGAUGAGCACUAGGUGUCGGGGGUAUCGACCCCCUCGGUGCCGCAGCUAACGCGAUAAGUGCUCCGCCUGGGGACUACGGCCGCAAGGCUAAAACUCAAAGGAAUUGACGG
rnacentral:rRNA from 1 species